UACGAAGGGGGCUAGCGUUGCUCGGAAUUACUGGGCGUAAAGGGCGCGUAGGCGGACAGUUUAGUCAGAGGUAAAAGCCCAGGGCUCAACCUUGGAACUGCCUUUGAUACUGACUGUCUUGAGUUCGGGAGAGGUGAGUGGAAUGCCGAGUGUAGAGGUGAAAUUCGUAGAUAUUCGGCGGGACACCAGUGGCGAAGGCGACUCGCUGGCCCGAUACUGACGCUGAGGCGCGAAAGCGUGGGGAGCAAACAGG
rnacentral:rRNA from 1 species